AACAUCGCGCACCUGCGGGAACCUGCGGAAGGAUCAUUACAGAGUUACUACUCCAAACCCAUUGUGAACCUUACCUAUGUUCUGUUGCCUCGGCGGCGUGGUCAGCGCCCCUCUGAAAAGAGGACGAUGCCCUCCCGCCGGCAGCACCAAACUCUUGAAUUUUACAGCGGAUUACAGUUCUGAUUUGAAAACAAAAAACAAGUUAAAACUUUCAGCAAUGGAUCUCAGAUCGGAAGAGCA
rnacentral:misc_RNA from 1 species